rnacentral:tRNA from 1 species
CGGCCGUGAUCGACCCGGACGAUCCGGUGUUCCUGGCACCGGGCGACAUGCCGGCGCGGAUCGACGCCGCGCUGGCCCG